rnacentral:rRNA from 1 species
AUGAACGCUGGCGGCGUGCCUAAUACAUGCAAGUCGAGCGCACAGACGAGGAGCUUGCUCCUCUGACGUUAGCGGCGGACGGGUGAGUAACACGUGGAUAACCUACCUAUAAGACUGGGAUAACUUCGGGAAACCGGAGCUAAUACCGGAUAAUAUAUUGAACCGCAUGGUUCAAUAGUGAAAGACGGUUUUGCUGUCACUUAUAGAUGGAUCCGCGCCGCAUUAGCUAGUUGGUAAGGUAACGGCUUACCAAGGCGACGAUGCGUAGCCGACCUGAGAGGGUGAUCGGCCACACUGGAACUGAGACACGGUCCAGACUCCUACGGGAGGCAGCAGUAGGGAAUCUUCCGCAAUGGGCGAAAGCCUGACGGAGCAACGCCGCGUGAGUGAUGAAGGUCUUCGGAUCGUAAAACUCUGUUAUUAGGGAAGAACAAAUGUGUAAGUAACGAUGCACGUCUGGACGGUACCUAAUCAGAAAGCCACGGCUAACUACGG